rnacentral:rRNA from 1 species
GAUGAACGCUGGCGGCGUGCCUAAUACAUGCAAGUCGAGCGAACAGACGAGGAGCUUGCUCCUCUGACGUUAGCGGCGGACGGGUGAGUAACACGUGGAUAACCUACCUAUAAGACUGGGAUAACUUCGGGAAACCGGAGCUAAUACCGGAUAAUAUAUUGAACCGCAUGGUUCAAUAGUGAAAGACGGUUUUGCUGUCACUUAUAGAUGGAUCCGCGCCGCAUUAGCUAGUUGGUAAGGUAACGGCUUACCAAGGCAACGAUGCGUAGCCGACCUGAGAGGGUGAUCGGCCACACUGGAACUGAGACACGGUCCAGACUCCUACGGGAGGCAGCAGUAGGGAAUCUUCCGCAAAGGGCGAAAGCCUGACGGAGCAACGCCGCGUGAGUGAUGAAGGUCUUCGGAUCGUAAAACUCUGUUGUUAGGGAAGAACAAAUGUGUAAGUAACUAUGCACGUCUUGACGGUACCUAAUCAGAAAGCCACGGCUAACUACGUG